rnacentral:rRNA from 1 species
CUACGGGAGGCUGCAGUGAGGAAUAUUGCACAAUGGGGGGAACCCUGAUGCAGCAACGCCGCGUGGAGGAUGACGCAUUUCGGUGUGUAAACUCCUUUUAUAUGUCAAGAAAAUGACGGUAGCAUAUGAAUAAGCACCGGCUAACUCCGUGCCAGCAGCCGCGGUAAUACGGAGGGUGCAAGCGUUACUCGGAAUCACUGGGCGUAAAGGACGCGUAGGCGGGCUGGAAAGUCAGGUGUGAAAUCCUACAGCUUAACUGUAGAACUGCACUUGAAACUUCUAAUCUAGAGUAUGGGAGGGGGAGAUGGAAUUAGUGGUGUAGGGGUAGAAUCCGUAGAUAUCACUAGGAAUACCUAAAGCGAAGGCGAUCUCCUGGAACAUUACUGACGCUAAGGCGUGAAAGCGUGGGGAGCAAACAGGAUUAGAUACCCCAGUAGUC